AACAAACGCUGGCGGCGUGCCUAACACAUGCAAGUCGGACGAGAAAGUUCGCUUCGGCGAAUGAGUAAAGUGGCGCACGGGUGAGUAACGCGUGGAUAAUCUGCCCUUCAGUUGGGAAUAACUCACCGAAAGGUGGGAUAAUACCGAAUAACGCUGCAUGGCCUCGGCUGUGCAGCCAAAGAUGGCCUCUGCUUGCAAGCUAUCGCUGAAGGAUGAGUCCGCGUACCAUUAGCUAGUUGGUAGGGUAAUGGCCUACCAAGGCUACGAUGGUUAGCUGGUCUGAGAGGAUGAUCAGCCACACUGGAACUGAGAUACGGUCCAGACUCCUACGGGAGCUG
rnacentral:rRNA from 1 species